AGGGGAGAGGGGACCCCCUGGGUGCCUGUGUAUGCCUUGAGCCAGGUCUCUGUGCUGGGGGUGACUCUACCUGGACCCUGGGCAGCUCUAUUGACAGAGACAAGAACAAGAGUCUGUCAGUGGCUGUGGAGCAGAGGAGUGAGGACAACACUGCCUUCCGUGACAUGGAAAGCACCAGGCAGUGCUCCAUGUUCAUUCAUCGGCACAGGGCUCCGACACGGCCACCUGUAUUGACCCAGACUGCCCCGGAGCCUAACACUGAGUUUCUGAUGGGCUCUGGGGACAGGACCACCCACAACGCGCCAGUCACCAACACUGCUCUGGCCCUUUACAGGCCCCGUUAUCCCAUUAAUAGUGUCAUAUAUUGGUAUAUAGUCAUUUGUUGUAUUUUUCUGUUUAUUGAUAUAAUAAAAUUUAUCCUAUAAUUCUGUA